CCUGUCGGCUGUGCUGCUCCUGAUACAGUUAUAAUGUAAUAUUAUUUAUUUCUGCAACAAAUGUACAACGCAAUGUAAUGUAAAUUGAUAUGUUUUAUGUAUACCUUUGUUCAACUUAGGUGGAAACAAAAUAACAUGAUGUAAUAAUAACAAUCUCCUGGCUUUGGACAAACACAACCCUCAACCCUUCCCUAACCCGGACCUAUAAGAAAAACAAAGCUCAACGUAUGAGUAAAAUACGGAAAAUGGUUAUAAAGAAGCUUUAAAAACUGUUCUCGGAUGAUUUACAUUCUAUCUACUGUAACCCCUA
rnacentral:lncRNA from 1 species